rnacentral:rRNA from 1 species
CAUGACCCCAGAUCAGACGGGACCACC